UAGUGUUACAGCUCUUUUAGAAUUUGUCUAGCAGGCUUUCCAGUUCUGGCUGGAAAGCCCCC
ensembl:snRNA U7 U7 small nuclear RNA